UGAGUGUCUGAUUAAAUAAAAGGA
rnacentral:siRNA from 1 species